GGCUUUUCUCUCGGUUAGAGACGGGCUCCCCCCAUCCCAGAGGUGAAGAGCAACCGCAGAGCGUGUCCUCGGCAUCCUGCAGAGGCCAACCCAACCGGACCAUGAGGAGCGAGGGACUGCAGGGCCUUGUCACAUGCAGGAUGAACACAAACGUCCCGUGAUGGCACGGACCAGACAUCAGCAUCCACACCAAGGUGAUGGUGGGAAGGGUGGGGGGGGGAUGAUGGUGAUGGGAGGCUCCAUCUGUGACGGACACACAGAGAGCUUCAAACGUGGCAGCAAUAAAGGAAUCGCCCC